rnacentral:rRNA from 1 species
GUGUCAGCAGCCGCGGUAAUACAGAGGGUGCAAGCGUUGUUCGGAAUUAUUGGGCGUAAAGCGCGUGUAGGCGGUGAUGCAUGUCGGGUGUGAAAGCCCUCAGCUUAACUGAGGAAGUGCGCCCGAAACUGCAUCGCUGGAGUGUCGGAGAGGAAGGCGGAAUUCCCGGUGUAGAGGUGAAAUUCGUAGAUAUCGGGAGGAACACCAGUGGCGAAGGCGGCCUUCUGGACGAACACUGACGCUGAGACGCGAAAGCGUGGGUAGCAAACAGGAUUAGAAACCCUGGUAGUCC